rnacentral:rRNA from 1 species
GAUGAACGCUAGCUACAGGCUUAACACAUGCAAGUCGAGGGGUAGCAGGGUAGCAAUACCGCUGACGACCGGCGCACGGGUGAGUAACACGUAUCCAACCUUCCCAUAACUCGGGGGAUAGCCUUUCGAAAGAAAGAUUAAUACCCGAUGGUACUUAUAUAAGGCAUCUUAAAUAAGUUAAGGAUUUAUUGGUUAUGGAUGGGGAUGCGUUCCAUUAGAUAGUUGGUGAGGUAACGGCUCACCAAGUCUUCGAUGGAUAGGGGUUCUGAGAGGAAGGUCCCCCACAUUGGUACUGAGACACGGACCAAACUCCUACGGGAGGCAGCAGUGAGGAAUAUUGGUCAAUGGGCGAGAGCCUGAACCAGCCAAGUAGCGUGAAGGAUGAAGGUCCUAUGGAUUGUAAACUUCUUUUAUAGUAGAAUAAAGUGACCCACGUGUUGGGUUUUUGUAUGUAUACUAUGAAUAAGGAUCGGCUAACUCCGUG